UUAGAACACAGUUCCGGGUUUCUGGCGCGGGCUCUGAAGCGGGAGCCUAGUCCCUGGCUGCAACCCAAGGCCCUGCUGCUCUCUCCCUCUGAGGGGGAUUUGUUCAGACCCUGACAAUCUGACUGUAUGGCUUCGAGAGGUUGGGUUUUGUUUCCUAAAGUUGCCCUUCCAACUCUCUCCCUGAUUAUUAAAUGACUAAAGCUGUAAAACGGAACUGCAAAGUUCUGCAGCGUCUGGGAUACCUCACCUCAGAACAAAUUUAAAAAUUCGAGAAGUACUGAUCCAAAUUCACACCAAAUAACUCUUUAAGAUUCGUGCUACAGGCCUUUUGCCAAGAAGAUACAUAAAUGACCAACAAAUGCAUAGAAAGGCCCCGGCAUGAGUCAAGAAGACAUAAUUAUACUAUAGCUGCAUCAAAAAAGGAGCAACAUAGUAUCACUGGUGAGCAUUUGGAGAAACUGGAAACCUCAGACAUUCCUUUUGGAAAUAUAAAGUGAUGGAGGAUUAUGGAAAAUAGUCAAAAAUGUAAGCCUAGAAUUACCAUACAGCCUAGCAAUUCUACUCCUGAAUAUAUACAAGUGUUCCUUGUUUGUGUUUUUAUGUCUUAGACUCCAAAAUAAUUCUAAAUUUCUCAUUGUUAUGAGAAGCAUGAUGAAAUAUCAUACUGCCCUGUUCCAUCCCACCCAAAAUGUGAGGCACCCCCUUGUCUACCAGCUCCACACCACAUAUUCUGCCUUCCCACUCAGUCCUUAGCUGCCUUGGUUAUAAGACAAAUUUUUGUGGUAUCACUUUGGUCAAGUAACCCUUAUGUAAUAAUAGCCUAACACUAUAUCACAAAGUCUGUGCCCUUCGCCUCAUGUUAUUUCAUCAUGCAUGUGUGCACUGUAUCCAUUCACAUCAUUAUAAGAAGGGUAAUUGCAUUAAGGAAGUAUGAUGAGAGAGACCACAUCCACAUAACUUCCUGGAAUAUAUUAUUAUAAUCAAUGUUUUAUCAUUUUUGUUAAUUUAUUACUAUUCCUGGUUUACGAGUUAAAGUUUUUCAGAUAUUUAUAAAUAUCAAAGCUACAGUAGAGGAAACCCUGGUACAAAUAGGAGUCAGUAUUGUUUGAAGUUUCAUUCAGACUUCCACUGAAGGUCUUCCAAUGUGUUGCUCACAGAUCAUGGAGGGGGGAACAGAGAGGACACUACUCCAUACCAGAGAGAAAGGAAAACAAAACACUUUUUCAGCAUUACUGUUUACUAUGGAAACCCACAGAGGCUUCCUAAUGAGACCUUACUCACAGUCCAAGAAUCUGAGCUUGCUUUACCUAGCAGCGCUGCAUAAUGGAAUGAUUUGGCCAUGGGCAUGGUUACCAGGUGUUUUGAAGGGUCUAUGCUUGACUGUACGUGUGCUUUGAUCUCAAAAGGGGAAGGUCUUUUGCCUAGUCCCUUGGUAUUCUAUAAAAAAGCCCUUUGGAAUAAACCUUGGGGUGACUGGGUGUUGACCCAGGGACCUCCUGAAGCUGUCCUGUGUCUCUGUCGUUCUUAUCCUCUCUUUCUAUUAUUUUCUCAUUCCUCCCUCCUCCCCCUCAAGAACCCUUCAACAGGUCAGAGCUAGACUCCGACAGACCCCCACAGUUUACAAAACUGAAAACAAUAUCUAUCCAUUAAGGAAUAGAUAAAAUAUAGCUCACCCAUCCCAUGGGAUAUUAUUCACCUGAAAUAAUGAUUGAAGCAGUUGCUUAACAUAUCAAGGGUGGGAUCUUUACAAUGCUAUGUUUAUGGAGAAGAAAGUCAUGAAAGCUUAGCUGUUGUACUUCUACUCAAAGGUAUAUGGGUCAACUCAGGCUGAUGUCCCAUACACUAGGUGACUUGAACAAAGAAUAUUCUCCAAGUUCUGGAAGCUGAGAAGUACCAGAGAAGGCACUGAGAGUGCUUUCAGUGAGAAUGUCUUCCUGACCUUCCCUCAGUGCUUGUCCAGAGAGAGAGAGAGACCUCUGGUGACUCAUCUUAGUGUUACAUUUGUGACCUUAUUCUACUAUAAUUAACUCCUCUGUGUCCCUAUGUCUAAAGACAGACUUGUUAGGGAUUAGGAGUUUAACAAGUGAAGUUGGGGAUUAUAGACAAACUCAUCUCAGUUCAUAACAGUUUUAAAUACCUAGAAAAGGCAAACUCAGAGACCUGGAAAAACAAAUUGUUGGCUGCUAAGGGGUGGGUAGGCAGGGAGGACAGGGAGUGAGCACACUGCCUCAUUUUUUGGUUGAAGGGAGUAUUCAGGAGGUAGGUAAUAGAUGACUACAUGGCAGUGUGGCUGUUGGAGAUGCUAGUGGGUCAGAAAAGAGCAAUUUUUGACUAGGAUGUGGAGGACUUGCAAAUCUCUUACUCUGUUGAUGGAAAUAUAAAAUGUUACAGCCAUUCUGAAAAACAGUCAAAAGAUCUUCAAAAAGACAAUCUAGUAUCAUUAGUUCCUGAAUCUAGUAUAAGACCACCAGUUCCAACUCCCACGUCUAGGUAUGUUUCAUCAAAAUGAAAGCAUAUGUAGUAAUUAUUUGCAAGAUCCUGAAGAGGAGAACAAGCAGAUAUUUAUUAAUUUAUGAAUCUAUAAACAAUGGAUGGGUAUGGUGUGGAAUAAACCUUCUGUACGUUGUGAAUACAUGUUGCUCUCAUUGGUUAAUAAGCUGACAGGCUGGUAGCUGGGCAGGAAGUGUA